rnacentral:rRNA from 1 species
AUUGAACGCUGGCGGCAGGCCUAACACAUGCAAGUCGAGCGGUAGAGAGGUGGUUGCAUCUCUUGAGAGCGGCGGACGGGUGAGUAAUGCCUAGGAAUCUGCCUGGUGGUGGGGGAUAACGUUCGGAAACGGACGCUAAUACCGCAUACGUCCUACGGGAGAAAGCGGGGGAUCUUCGGACCUCGCGCCAUUAGAUGAGCCUAGGUCGGAUUAGCUAGUUGGUGAGGUAAUGGCUCACCAAGGCGACGAUCCGUAACUGGUCUGAGAGGAUGAUCAGUCACACUGGAACUGAGACACGGUCCAGACUCCUACGGGAGGCAGCAGUGGGGAAUAUUGGACAAUGGGCGAAAGCCUGAUCCAGCCAUGCCGCGUGUGUGAAGAAGGUCUUCGGAUUGUAAAGCACUUUAAGUUGGGAGGAAGGGUCGUAACCUAAUACGUUGCGGCUUUGACGUUACCGACAGAAUAAGCACCGGCUAACUUCGUGCCAGCCGCCGCGGUAACAC